GGUUCCCUAGUGGAUCGAGACAUUGGAGGUGUGGUUGAUCGGUAGGGAUGACAAUUCUAUUGGACAGAUCCUAAUAGUUUUUGGGGGUAAAAAGAAGAACAAAAGAAAAAAAGGUAUUCAGUAAGAUGAACUGCGGAAGAACAGGAGUGCAGUAAAAAUACAAGAGAGAAGUAGAACUGACCUCAGGCAUGAUGAAGUUGACGGCCAUCUCCUAGAAGGGGAGAAGAUUGAGAAAUUGGGGG
rnacentral:lncRNA from 1 species